UAGGGAAUCUUCCACAAUGGACGCAAGUCUGAUGGAGCAACGCCGCGUGAGUGAAGAAGGCUUUCGGGUCGUAAAAACUCUGUUAUUGAAGAAGAACGUGUGUGACAGUAACUGGUCAUGCAGUGACGGUAUUCAAUCAGAAAGUCACGGCUAACUACGUGCCAGCAGCCGCGGUAAUACGUAGGUGGCAAGCGUUGUCCGGAUUUAUUGGGCGUAAAGCGAGUGCAGGCGGUCUUUUAAGUCUGAUGUGAAAGCCUUCGGCUUAACCGAAGAAGGGCAUCGGAAACUGGGAGACUUGAGUGCAGAAGAGGAGAGUGGAACUCCAUGUGUAGCGGUGAAAUGCGUAGAUAUAUGGAAGAACACCAGUGGCGAAGGCGGCUCUCUGGUCUGUAACUGACGCUGAGGCUCGAAAGCGUGGGUAGCAAACAGGAUUAGAUACCC
rnacentral:rRNA from 1 species